AUAUAUAUAUAUAUAUAUAGAGAGAGAGAGAGAGAGAGAGAGAGUCCGGCUAUGGUGCUUGUAAAAGUACCAAGUAUUUGGUGCUUGUAAAUUUUUUACUGUUAGAUCUACACCUUUGAUCAUUUUCACCCGUUAGAUUAUACUAUUCAACCAACCACCGACUUUAGGAGAGGUACCGGUCACCAGUUACCUCAAAAAAGGGUAUUUUUGUCUUUUAAUACAUGAGUAAUUUAGUCAUUUUAUCUCUAUUAUAUUAUCAAAAUUUUUAUUCUCUCUUUAUUUCUUUUUUCUCUCUCUAUCUUUCCUCUCAUAUUUGGUAUUUCAUGUAAGAAAAUUUUCAAAUUAUUUGACAACAAGAACGUGAGAUUAUUUUGUGAAUCAACUAUGGAUUUUUUCUAUAUCCAUCUUGAAUCCAACUUGAAUCAUACAUAAAGUUUAAUAUUACAUUCAAAUUUAUAUUUUAAAAUUUUAAAUUUAAUAUAAAAUAUUUUGAAAUAUGGUAAAAAGAAAUAAUUAUUUCGGGUUCCAGUCUUCCGGUUUGGAAUUGAUUUUGGGUUUCGAAAAAUUGGUUAGUUUCGGGUUAGAUAUGGAUUUUUGAAAUCCGUCGAGUUAGGAAAUAGAUUUUGCGAUUGUUAGUCGGGUUCGAAUUCAAAUUUCUAACCUUUUUUUUUUCUGAAUAGAAAUCCUAAUUUUUUUAAUUUUUAUGUUUAAAAUUAUGUUUAAAAUAUUUAUUAGCUCUAACAGUUAAAAUACUAUUCUGUUUAAAACGUUUAUUAUCAUUAACGAUUCCGGAUUGUUCUUAAUCUUAUUCAGUUUAAAGGGUUGAAAUCAGAUCUUUGAUAGAAUAGUUUAAAGUCUGAUCAGUCGAAUCAAUCAGUUCAAUAUGGUUUUUAAAUCAUUGAUACUAAUUUAAUUAAAAUGAAUAAUAAAAGUUAUGAAGCUAAUUAUAAACCAAAAGGUAUAUAACAACUAAAAUUUAAAAAAUCAACUAAAAAUUAAAAAAUUUUAAAGAUAAGAGUCAAAAUCAAUUUAAUAAAUCAAAUUAAUUAGACUGAUCAAAUUGAUAAAAUAUACAAAUAGUCUAGAUUUGAUCAAUAUAAAUUUAUUUAAUUUAUCACCAUUUCUAAUUUUGUUUACUCUAGUAAAACUCUAUGGUAGAGAUUUAUUAUAAGUUUAAAAUUUAAAUUAUACAGUUUAAAUUUAUUUAUUGGUAAGUUUAAAUUGCACUACACUAUUUAAAUUUAUUGGAGGUUUCUAUUUUCUUUUUAGGUUCUAAACUUCAAAUUUUAUUUGUUUUCAAUUUAUAUUUUAAAUUACAAUACAUUAUCUGAUUAGUUUAAAAGAUUAAUUUUUUACUAUUAAAAUUUGAAUUAAUUUUGUCCAUACAAUUCUAUUCUAAGAAUAAAUUUGAAUUAUACCCUAUAUUUCUAAUUAAUUAUCCACAUUAAAUUUUUUAAAUAGUGAUAAUGUCAUGCCCUGGACUUCAGCAGAAGCUCACCAGUCACGUGCACAGACCCGCCGUGUACACCACAACCUCAAGUAUACACCAGGCGUCUAUAAUCCACAUAGUAAAAGCAUUCGAUUCCAAUCAGGUAAUCAGAGCACAACUUAAAAAUAUAGUAAACUUAUACAACCCAAAACCUUAUUACAAUUUAAAAGUAAAGAACAUUUUACAUAAUUCCAGAAUACAUCACUGAGCUAAACCAAAUUAAACCAAUAGAGGUUCAUCUAUUUAACAUCGAGAAGGAUCUAUUUAACCGUUGACCCCUUGCCAAGAAUCCCUAGCCUUUCCCGUCAUGGAAGGCUCUGUAAAAACAACAACAAAGAGUGCAUGAGAACUAUUAAACAAUAGUUCCCAGUAGGUAAGCCGCCGAGAGUGGCGAAGUAUACCACUAGGUCAACUGAGGCAUAAGUAUAUAGCGAUAAGUAAACAAAGUAGAUGAAAUAAUAACAGAAAUACUUAAUUAUACUAUGCCUCCACAAGAUAUGUUUUCUAAUAUAUCCCAUACACUGAUUAUUAUGCAUGUAAAUUAUGCCAAUUAUUACUUUAAUCUUAUAUAUGUCAUGCUGAACAUUAUCUUUACAGCUAAAUUAGCUAAUGACAUUAGGUGGUUAAUCUCCUACACUAACAGAAGUGUAAAUACAUAUAUAAUGUCACUAUGUCACUGUUGAACAGGAAUGCUAAUCUCCUAGUGUGUUCAUUGCUAGGUACGCUCAACUAACGACAUAAAGUAUUCAUACUACAAUGUCUAUCUGACGUUAAAACCACUUUUGUUAACCCAAUUAAUCAUUGACUUACACAUAGUAAAGUUGUAAGGACUGAGAUUUUUGCAGUAUAGCUAAACUCUCAGUUGAUGAUGUUUUUGUGUGUAAUUUAAUUACAAAAGCACUCGUCAAGUUUCGGGCGAAAACGAGUUAAAACGAAAAUUCUACGCGAUUUCCAAGUUUCACUUAAAGUGAAUAGUAACUCGAUUUUUCGGAGAAGCCGCGGUGAGAAGUUGGCUUCUGGCUCGUACCGGACUCUGUUCAUAGCAGUCCAAUAGCUCGUUUCGACCGGGUCAGCUAUUCUGGAACUAAUGACGCUGACGGAUUUUGAGUUUGACGCACGGAUUUUGAGAAAAUCCAAAAAUACAUGUUUUAUAUGUAUUUAUGUGNAAAAAAAAAAAAAAAAUGGCACGCUUUCCGCAACUCUGUUUUCAAAAGGCUUUUAAAAUCGGCCCCGGGGCGUGACAAAAGUCUUAGCCGCGCCGUGCCUAAUGGCCCUGUGGAAGUCAACAUUACCCACAACAAUCCACUUCAGCGCUCAAAUUUGUACAUAAGCGAGAAUCUGUCGCUAAGCCACUCCGGAGCGCUGGCUUGGGGGGCGCGACCCCCACAAGCAUGUGUGAAAGAGCACAAUGGCAUGCAAGCUGUAAUCCAUAGCACAAGUAUCACGAUUUCAUCAUGUCUCAAACAUGAAAUCUCAACUCGACACAAGGUCGACACUGUAGUACCAAAUCAUAAGUCACUAUCAACUACUUGGUGUCCUAUUACCAUCAAUAGCUAGGAUGACUUAAUAAGUUCAAGCUUUACAUCAUAAUGGUGAUUCUAUCAGGCUGUACCUGGACACUCACCCAUAGUUCUCUCACUAUUCCUUAUAUAUAAGGAAAGUGGUUUACUAAGGUCAUAUCUAAUGACUCGUGGCACAUAUCCUACAGUUCAAUAUAAACCUUCACUAAUUGGAGUAAACAAUUACUAUGCCAUUAUUUCUACUUGACUAUACAAGUAUGUUAUUAUAUCCAAAUCUAGUUAUUUACCAGAUCAUUAUCACUAUGCCCAAUUCUAGUUACUUAACUAGAUUAUUCACAAGAACAUGGAGUUCAAUUUAGCUUUAUCAUGUAAAAGCGAGGAUUAACUAGUUAAUAUAAAUAAGUCAAAUCUCUUAUAACAUACUCUUCACAUGAUCUUUAUACUAUUCGUUCCACACUAUGAAUGUAUACUUAUGUAACCUCAUCCUACCUGAUAUACUUGAAGUUCAGUCAUCAAGUUACAACAUGGGAUUGCAUGAAUAACUCUGCGGCCAAAACCCAUUAUCUCACAUUCACUUAUAUACAUAUCUCCAACUAAGUAUCAUGUUCAUGGCUUUCUCAAUGCACUAAUAAGUGAUGUUAUCUCUUACUUGUCUACACAAGUAUUUUAAUAUCAUGUAAUGCGUGCUAGCCUACCAGGAAUCUCUAGACACAAAGCAAUUUUCAUAAUUUAUCCCUUCUAUUCAGAGGUUGACAGUUAUCCAAUAUGUGAUGCAGAUUUAUACAUGCUCAAUUCAUUCAAAUAUACAUAUAUUCACAUGAAUAUGUAAUAAAUUCAUUUGACAAUGUCAAGAAGACAUAAAGGGAAUUCACCCAUUUCGGUGAGGUCAGACCCACCUACUAGUCGACGACUCUUAGUCACUUGCAACUACAGGAAUUUGGAGUCUCCAAGUCCUCUAGGUUUAGAUUAAAACUCAACCCUGCAUCAAUUCAAGAGAAAGUACUUUCAGAUCCACUCAAUUUAGCUUUAAAAGGUCUCAAUAUUCAGCUCAAGGUGGUCUCAAAAUCUGGUGCGAACUCCUUGUAAAAACUGCAUUGUAGCUAAUACCAAAACAUCUAAAUUUAGAGAGAUUCUCACCUUGUACAAUGCUAUAGCUUAAAUCCCUGUUUCGGUUUAGGUUAAAGCACCAAGUUUAACCUUCGAAAGCUCCUAAAAAUCAGCUGAGAUUACUUCAACAAUCUGUCGCAAACCUGCUGCGAACCUGCAGUGAACUAGCUUCAAAAACAGCAUUAUUACACUUACAUAACCACUCCGUAUAGGUUAAAACCUCACCCAGGUUUAGUCUAGAGCUCAAUCUCCAUUCCACGUAAGUUGGGGCAUCCCAAAUCAGCUCUCGAUUGCCCCUAUAUUCAGCUCAAAGUGAUAAUUAAAGCUGCUGAAAACAGAUCCCAGAAACAGCAUCAUUACUUCCUCGGACAUCUAAUAUAGCUUCAAUAUAAGGCAAUUAGUGAAUUAAUUACCUUCUUAAAAUCCUAAUCCAGCUUACUCCUGGAUUAAAAUCGAUAGUCACAGCCCAAGAUACUCAUUCUACGGCCUUUGUAAACUUUCCUCAACUCAGCUGGCAAUAAGAACAAGGAAUAAGAUCAAAUCCUCUGUUACGGCUUUAAACUAGAGAGAGAACUUAACAAAUCAUCUUAUAUAGCUCCAACUCAAGUUGAAGCACAUUAAAUCCAAUCCACAAAAUUCCCAGAACUCAGCUAAAAGAGUUUCAUAACCCUGCUGUGAGCUAGCUUUAAAAAUAUCACUAAUUCCACUACUAUUUCCUCAAACUAGAGAAUAGUUAGUUUGCUCACCAUUCGAAGCUUAACCCCAGCACAUUCCUGAAUUAGGGUUAAAGUUAAAGACCACCAAAAAUUCCCUUUCACCUCAUCCGCAGCUCCCUCCCAGCUCACCACCUCAGCCAACAUGAAGAGGAGAAGAGAAAGGAGUUAAUUCCAUUAACUUCUACUCAAAAAUGGAGAGAAGUUUUAGAGAGAGAAAGAGAGAGCUUACCCUAUGUUCCCCAGAGCCAAAAUGGAUGAGGACCAGCUGAGGAAGUCGAGCUGGGCUUAAAAGGGAUAAGCUCAAAGCCAAAUUACCAAAAAAACCCCAUAUCCACGCAGCUGCUACAUUGUGUACCGGUACACCAUCAAGUUUGUACCGGUACACAAUAGAAAUUUCUGGAAUUUGAAUUUUCAAGGCACUUUUGAUCUUUUGGCGGUUCAAUCACUCCUUUAACUUGUCAAAAAUCUUUCUACCACUCUUUAAAAGAUGUAGGUUAACUCCAAAUACCCAUCCCACUCUCAAGCUUCGCACUUGACCAAGUUCAAAGUACUACAUUUGAAAAUUGCAUUCACAAUGUACUUUUCCACUUCCGGUUACUUGCUUACUUCAGUAAUUUGUCGAAAACCUCUCAACACUCCUUCAAAGUUGUAGGAUAGUUCCAAUUACUAUUCUAACACUCGAACAUCGAAUUUGCCAAAGUUCAGUGUACUACAGAUAAAGAAUUAAUAUCUAAAUUAGAAAAAUUCUUAAAUAUUUUUAAACAUAUUAAAUAUGUUGAAAAUUUAAAUAUUUUGCCCACAAUCAAUUUUUUAAAAUUAGUAAUACAAAAUUAAUGUCUAAGAUGAAUUCAUAAUUUUGUUAAACAUAUAAAAUAUGUUAAAUUUAAAUAUUUACCAACAUUACAAAUUUUUUUGAAUAAUGCUACAAAAUUAAUGUCUAAAGUAGAACAAUUCUAAAUUUUUUUUAACAUAUUAAAUACAUUUAAUUUAUAAUUUUUUUACCUUUAUUCAAAUAUUUUUAAAAUAAGUGAUACAAAAUUAAUGUCUAAACUUUAAGAAUUUAAAAAUUUUCUUAAACAUAUUAAGUAUGUUGAAUUAAAAUAUUUAUCAACAUUACAAAUUUUUUAAAUAGCAAUACAAAAUUCCACUAACUUAAAUUUCAAUUUUUUAAUUUUAAAUAUAUAAUAUUUAAUAUUUAAAUUCAAUGUACUUAGAAAUAGAACUAUUUCUAAAAUUCUUAUAAUUUAAAUUAAUCGGUAUAUUCCCUAGCAUUGUUACCCCUAAUUGGUAGGGUAUCCUCAAGUUAGAGGAUUGGAUCAUACUCACAUUAUGUCUGUCAGCUUGGCGGUGGUUGCUCCACCCAAGCAUUAGUUUCCGGAGUACUUCAGAUAGGUUAACGUAGCUACCCAGCAGACGAUCCCGAGUGAGCGUAGCGUGGAGUCUCCUCACCUGUGGGAUUGGGUCGUGAGUCGAGGCUCAACCUUCGGGUUAACCAGAACGAUUGGAUAUAAAUCGUGGACAGUAUGCAUCAUGAGCAUAGUAGUUGCUAGUACAUGUUUAUUGUACCUGUUUAUUGUAUCAUAUUGCUAAUUAAGGCAUAGUAGCAUGCUAAAUGUUUGUUAUAUUGCUAACCCUUCUACUUAUACCUGCUUAGACCUAGUGGAAAAUCGGCGGGUCGGCGGCGGAACCCACUGGAAACUUUUGUUAGUUCUCAUCCCACUUUGUUGUAAGGCCUAGCACGAGCGGAGCGGUCGAGGAUUGCGGUAAGGGCAUAGCGCUCUAGAUAGUAACCUCCUUUGCAUUAAAGUACGAUGUAUUAUAUUGACAGACAUGAUGUACUUUUAGGAGAGGUUACUUUGGGAAAUGUAUAUGUAUCAUGAACAAGACAUGUAAACCAAAUGAAUGUAUUUUGGUGGUUGAAUACAAAUGUUCAAAUGUGGAAUGUAAUAGCUAGUAUUUCUCUCUUACUCUUGUUUAUGUUAUCCUCGCGCAAUUCAUGUAUGUUGAUUAUGUUUUACCUAGGCAAACUAGAUAUACAUGAUUUUUGUUGAGCCUUGGGCGGAUAGGGAAAACUUUGUCCGUUCGGCGGUCCGCCUACACACUCGAACCGACCAAAUUAGCGGUCCCAAGGCGUGGGGCGUGACAAAGCGUGGUAUCAGAGCAUGUAAAAGAGAGAAGUCUAGGAUGGACCUAGGUGGCCCUAGAAUGGUAACUAUAAGGACAUAGGCGCGUGAGUGACGCGGAUCUACGAUUUGUGGUGGAGGUUAAGUCAAUUGGGUAUAAUUGUUAGUAAGUCUCUAAUGGUUGAUAGAGACAGAUUCAAGUAAUAUUUGUUCUCAACUCGAGAAAGUUAUGUUGGUGGCCGACAACAUAACGCUAAGGGUGGGAAUGAGUAUGCUUGUGUGCUUCCGCCUAAUUUGAUGUUGGAUCGUUUGGUUUUCGAGUUACGUAGAACUUAGGGGUUAAGGUGAUUAACCUAAAUAUUAGUGGAUGUAUGUGGAUUAUUGUUAUUAGGUGAUCAUUAGAUUAUUUGUGUUAUGUGGUUGUAUGUGUGGUUGACUCUGUAUCCGGUGCUACGCCGUGCAUAUACAGGGGAGAUUCUGUCCGUUUGUAUAGAGAAUCUUUGUCCAUGUGGUGGGUCUGUGUGCGUCCGUGUUCAAAAGUGUCUUUUUUUAAAAGAAAUCUACACAUUUUUCGCUAGUUUUUUUAAGAAGGAUUUCCAAAAAGAACCUCGGGGCGUGACAUCUAGUUGGUAAUGUAGUAAUACAAAUUGUGCAAGAUAACACCAAAAAUACUACUGAGCAAGGGAGUGAGUAUCUUGUAUUACUAAUGGUGAGUAACCCUUUGGGUGCGUUUGGUUCGCAUUAUGAAAGAUUACUAGGAAUAAAAGAUAUCCGAGAAUCUUAUUCCUAUUCAUCUUAUUACUAAGAAUGUGAAAUUUCUGUGUUUGGUUCGCACGGUAAUAUUAAUUAGCCAUAUUAUUUAAUAUUACAAAAAAUAUACAAUUUAUUUAUUUAAUUAAUUUUAGAUAAUGUUACCAAAAGUUUCAACAUCUUUUUAGAAAAAAGGGAGAGAGAGUAUAAGUUAGAGAGAGAGAGAGAGCAUAAUUAAAAAAAUAGAAAGAAAAAUAUAGUCGAAAUUAGAAGGAGCGAGAAAGUUGAAAUUUUAGAAAGAGAGAGAGAGAGAAAGCUUAGUUUAGAGAGAGAAAAAAAAGUUGAAUUUUAGGAAGAAAAAUAAGUUUAGAGAGAGAUAUAAGGUUAGAAUGUAAAGAAAAAUAAUAUCAAUUAGCCUGCAGGUAGGAAAAAAGAAAGAGAUUAGACAUAUUGUGAUUACCCCAAUCCAUUAAUAUGAGAAUACCCACCCUCCCUCAAGGGAAUGAGAUUAGUACUUUGGGUGAAUCUUAUUCCCAAGUGAAUCAAAUAUUACCAACUAGAUUACUUAGUGCAUUUACCCAAAUACCGUCAUAUUUUUUUAUUCCCAUUGGAUUAGUAGGAAUCUUUAAAAGAUAGCGCGAACCAAAUGCACCCUUUAUGUUAUUUAAAGAUUAUAAGUUUGCCCCUGCAACCCCAACUCUUUGUAUAUGUAAUUUUUUAAAAUUUUAUUUAAAAAUUUGAAUUGCCAAAUUGUAAAUUUAAAUUUCAAAUUUCAAAUCCCAAAUAACUAGUUAUGCUGAAAUAUCCUAUAAUGCUAUAUAACACGAACCAUACGCACCUAAGAGUCAAAUGCAAUAUCAAAUGAUAUUGCAUUUAGGUGGUGUUUGGUUCACGUAAUCUGCCAAGAAUUAUUGAAAAUCCACAGUCCAUUACUGCAUUUGUGUAAUGUAGUUAAAUAAUCCGAUUCAGAAUAUUCCACUUUGAAAGGUAGAGAAUUUUUCCCAAAAGGAGAAUGUUAUUAACGUUGAGGGAGGGGGGUAAAUUUUAUUCCAAAGUGCGAAAAAUGUAAAAAAAAAGAAUUCAGAAUUUCCAAAUUACCCUUGUAAUCCUCCCAAACCUUCAUCUCACUUUCAUUCUUCCAGUUUUCUCAUUCUAUCUUCCUCUCUUUCUCUCCCCCCCCUUCGUAUCCAUAACAGGUAUCUCUUCUUUCUCAUUUUCUUUCUUCAUUAUUCUAUCGAUCCCUUUUAUUAUUAUUAUUUUUUAUUUUUACCAUUUGAGCUGGCCGCACAGUCAUGGAUCACGGUCGUGCAGCCAGAUCCAUGGCCGCAGGGUAAAAAUGUUUUCUUUUUUUGGAGUGCGUACUCAAUUUUUCCUUUUGUUAUGUUAAAAUUACAUUUUUUUUUUUUUACAUUUAUCUUUUAUUGCUUUAAUUUUUUUAUUUACAUUCUAAUGGUAAAUAUACACAUAAAUAAACUUUUACGUAUAGGAAUAAUUCUGGAAAAUUAUGUAUAUUAUUGUCCAGAUUGCUGCAGUUUUAGUGUUAAACCAAACACACUAAUUUUAUAUCCCUAAUCCUUCUUGACGAAAUAACUAUAUGAACCAAACACGAGAAUCAUAUAAUUUCCAUUAAUUUUAUUGCUGUGUAUAUAAUCAUCCUCAAUCUUUCAUUACUUAGGAAUCAUACAUAACACAAACCAUACAACCCCUUAGAAAAAAAUUAACUAGAGUUGACAAGAAAGACAAUUUUAUACUAUAUAAAUUGAUUUUUAUAAGAAAUUUCUUCAUUAAUUAGCCCCACAUAAUACCACAAUCUAUACCAUUAUAUUAAUCCCUAAUAAAAUUUGCUAAGUAGCAUUCUUUCCUUCACUUGAGUUGUGGACUCCACCUACUAGUAAUUCCGACCUUGAACCAGACCUUCUGAUUCGCCCACCUCUUCGUCCUUUUCUUUUUGAAUCAAAUAAAGCUACUUUGUAAUAUACGCAUAGAUGUGUUCAACCCGGUUCUUCUCUUUGUUAGACCGAUUCCUUGAUCGAUUCCUUUUUUUGGACCUGUUGCGAGCCGAACGUCCUAAUCCUUGACCUGGUCAAAGACCUCCCUCGGGAAUAGUGUAGGGAUGCAGGACGGCUGUGAUUAGUGACCCUCGAAGUUUGCGCCCAUCGACUGGAUUAAGCGAUUCGGCUGAUGAGGGAUCGGAUCAACCGAGCUCGAAAACCUUCACUAUAAAAACGGUUCGGCUGAAUAAGCCGAAUGUACGGAUUGCACAAAGACUAGGGUCGGCUGAAGAGCCGAAUGGAUGGAAAACACAGUAACUGGUCGGCUGAAAGAGCCGAAUGCCUUUAUAUAUUGAAUAUGACUUGCGAAAAUAGCACAAAGGUCGAGUGUCCCUGAGGGCAUACAGACUCGGUUGAUCUAACUUAAAAACUACUCCUAAGGAAAUGUAGGAAGUGCUGAAAAGUAAAGGAUUACAAGUAGACUACUCCUAGGAAAUGCGAAGAAAUUGCAGAGAAAAUAAAUGUGGUCUUCUGUUCACGAGGAAAAGACCUCUUUUCAGGGUGUUAUUGGCCUAUUUAUAGAUUGCCCCUGUUAAUCAGUUACUCUCCAUCCAUGAUCGGCCACUAUUCCUAUUUUUUUGGGCCACUUUCAGCCGAUCAGAACCGCUUAUAACCGCUCGCGGUUACUGUAACUCCUCUCAAUUCGUGCGGUAGUUGCUUAAAACUUCUUCCAAUGCUCCCGGUGCAUCGCAAAAUCACUACCUUUAAUAAAUAAAUCUGAGUGGAGUAUCGGCGUGCCACAUAGCUGCGCCUUAUUGGAGCAGUAGCUCUCGUGCCCUAAGUAGGGAUAGUGGCCUAGGCACCGGCAGUUAAGACACUCGCAUAGGCCCAAAUAUUACUUGGCCUUUCAAGGCCCCACCAGACAGGAGUGGCUACACCUGGUGACCGUCACCCCGCCACUCGAUGUCCGUAUAUGUGCACCACCACUACUCCCAACUGCGACACUAGCUUGUGCGAAAACCGUAGUACGUACAAAAAAUAACCAUGCACUUCGCGUUUACCAAUCUCGAAUGCACACCGGGACUCAAGCCCAAACCCCGCACUCACGUGCCUAUAUAUACCGUAGGUCUUCUUAUGGGUAAACCUAACCAAUGAUUCAGUUUAUUUAUUUUUCAAAACAACCCGUGAGUGGUGCCGUGGUUGUAACUUGGGCUCUGAUACCAUUUUAAUCUGUCACGCCCCGGGGUCCUUUUUGGUUUUAAACCGAUGGGAAAGUGCCCAAUUUUUUUUUUUUUUUAAACCUUGACCCCAGAGGACGUCACUACGUCAGAUCCGCCACAAAUACAGUGUAACAUAUUGAAACCUGGAAGAAAUUAUCGAACUUUACCCAAAUUGGUUAAAGUUGUCGAGAGAAACAGUUGGACAAGCUCCAUUUAGCAUUCCAAUAAUGUUGGAAGGGCUAAAAAUGAGUUUAAGAGGUGUUAGAAAGGUUUUAGCAUCGAUCGACGUGAAAUAGAAUCGAAAAUGGCGCAAAACCAACAUCUGGGCAAAGUGUACCGGUACAACCAUCGAGUUGUCACCGGUACAGCCCUGCAGACCGAGAAGAGUUUGCUCUCGGGUUUGAUUUUUCACGAAAAUGUACCGGUACACCCCUGGUGUGUACCGGUACACUUUGGUAAAAUUUGAGAACCUUGCUUUCGGGUUGCCUCUGCGCAGAAAAUAUAUCAGUACAAAAUCCCGUGUACCAGUACAUUUUGGUCUGGCAGCAAGGAAUUGAUCUGUUGCAAAUACAAAUGUUUGGGGGGCCUAGUUGCAAUUGUUGCAUAUUAUAAUUGUAACAUACCAGAUUUUGGUAUAAAAAUAAAAAUAAAUAAAAAUAGUGUGAGAAACUAUUUUUAUUGGAUUUAGAGAAGUAAAACAUAAGUCAGAAGUGAUUUGUGCUGAAAUCGGAAUGAAAAUAGCAAUUUAGAAUUUUCUGUUGGAAACGGGACUGAUAAAUUAGUAGAAAAUGCACAGUGUCAGAAAAUUAUGAAAACUAGAGGAUAAGUCAGAAUUAUUUUUAUGAGGCUAGAUUUAAAGUUUUAUGUCAUUCUGACACCCGGAACGUGAAAAAUAAAAUCCAACAGCUAUCUGAUAAAGAUUACUGUUCGGUACAGUUUUCGGUGACCAAACGGGGUCGAAAUUGAAAUAUUAAAAUUUUUUUGAACUCGUUAAGUAAAACCGAACAUGACUGUCGAGUUUGAGUUCAAACGGAUAUUCAGUAAGCUCCGGCGAAAGAUAUCAGAUUUCGAGCUGCCUGGAGUGAAUAGUGUUUUGGUGUUGACUAAAGAGGAGUGUUGACCUCUUCUUCUUCCUUAGCCGACCACACCACCCCACAACUCACGCACGCAUGGGAAUAGAGGGAGAGACUCUCCUUUCUCUCUCUAAAGAUCUCUCAUCUCUCUAAAUCUCUCUCUAAAAAUUGGAGGGUUGGUGGAGAAGAUGCUUGCGAACGCGUUGGAGGCGACGGAUCGAGCUUUCGUGCGCCCGUUGGAGCGGCGUGCUUUCGUCGCGGCGUUCACAUUUUGGUAAGCUUUUGAGAUUUUGUUUAAAUCCUUCAUGAAUGAUAUUCUAGUAGUAUAUAGAGUAUUUUAAACAUGUUUGCUCCAUUUAAUUUGGAUUAUUUGGAGGUUAAUUGAAUGUUAGGGCUCCGAAUGGGAUUUUAUAAAAUAGUAAGGUUUGAUCUGAUUUGACCUUCCGUAAACCUAAUUGUUAGGUAAACGAACGCGUUGGCGAAGUCGGUUUGGCGAUUCGUCAAGCCUACGCGAAGUUAUUAAAGAAACGGACGUUUAGGCUUUGUUUCCGCCUGGAGGGCCAAGGCGACAUCGUAAAGUCAUGAAAACGGAUUUAGAGUACCGUGGCACAUAACCGAAGAGCUAUAAUUUUCGAUGUUGCAAUUCGAUGCACGGUUGGUGAGUAUUAGCAAAAUCGGGCCGAACCGGACACGGGUGCUGCGGGAGGCCAAUUACAAGUGUCGACAAGUAAUCGGAAAGCGAUUUGAGGUGGGUUGUAUUUAUCGAAGCGACUAGAUCACCUAUAUGUCUAAGAUGAGUGUUUAUCAUUGAUGCAUAUUAUGGUAGCUAGUGGUAGAAUGUAUAAAUGCAUGAAAUGAAUGCUAUGUUAGGCUACCAAAUAAUGCAUAUGGUCAUAAUGUGAGAAUGCUAAGUAAUGCAUAAUAAACAUGUUAUAUAAAUGCUAGAUAAUGCAUGUUAAUUAUCUAAAGAAAGAUGCUAAGAGAUUGCACAUGGGGUGACACAAUGUUAAUGCUAGAUGAUGCAAGCUAAUAUAUAGAGGUUUAUGUUAAUGAAAAUGUGCAUAUGUACAAUCUAUAUACAUUAGAUCGAGUGGCAUUAAAUCUAGAGUCAUGGACAUAGGUUGAAUAUGGAUGAUAUGAACCUAAUGUCAAAGAACAUAGGUUGGACAUCAAGUGGCAUUAAACCUAGUGUCUUGAACAUAGGUUGAACUAGUAUGGUGUGAACCUAGUGUCAUGAACCUAGCAAACACUUAUGCUAUUUGAGCAUAUAUAUUUUGUAUCAUUCAUGCAUGAUAGGGCUAAGUACAUGUGAACCUUGGUUGCUUUCAAUGACAUGUUCUAACGUAGUUGAACAUAGAGAAUGGUAGAAUCAUAAUGGACAUGUAUGUUAGGACCCUAUAAUUGUGUGAAUGUGAGAGUUGGACUUGGACAUAGUAAACAAAGGUGACCUUGACAAUAGAGAUAUUGAUUGGCAUAGAGAACAUAGUUGUUAAAUAUAGUUUAACCAAGAGUGGCAUUGAGACAAGAAUGGCCUAGAGAGCGGCAUGAAUAAAUAGGUAGAAACCUAUCAUGACAAUGGCAUUGUGACAAGUGGCUAUGAGUCCUCAAGUUGAGGAUUGGAACUAUAAUCACGAUAUGUCUUGGCUUGAGGGAGGUAGCUCUCCCUCAAGCGGUGCGCUCCGGAGUAGGUCACCACGGGGAUAGUGGCCCCGAAGGACGGUCCCUCGAGUGGAAGUGCUCGAAGCCUCCUCGAUCAAAAGGGAUUUUGGGUUGUAAGUCAUUGGGGUUAACAAGGUUAACCGGUAAGAUUGGGUCAAAGCCAAGUAAGAGUUACUUUUCAAAGAAUAGACGCACUACAAUAUGAUUGACUCGAGACCGAGUCGGGUAGUUAGCUUGGCUAGGGUAGAGAGAAAAACCUUAGGAGCAAAUAACCAACGAUAUAAAGUGACAAGAUGUAUAAAUUAUGGAAAAGCUAUGAAUAGCAUGAUAGAAAGUUAAAUCAUUCAUUCUACUUAUAUAGUUGCAUGAUUCGCAUAUAGCAUGGCAUUAUUGCAUUCGUGAGGCAAAGCAUGGUUUUAUUAGUUGCAUAAUUAAGAUAUAUAUCUAUCUGUUCAUUGAACUAACAUGUUGUUGCCUCUUUUGGACCUAUUGGUCGAGCUUUUCCCCUAGGUGGCCCUACCCACUGGGAACCAUAGAUUUGGUUCUCACCCCACGUUGUUUUGGGGUGUUACAGGUUCACACGUGAGCGCGCGGCGACGCGAGGCGAGGACGUAGCUUCAUAGUUAGGGCCCCACCACCGAGACAAGAGAUAGCGGUACCCUGAGUCGGCCUUACUUAGGGAUGUAAGAAAAUGAAAAGAAUCAAGUUGUAAUAAUUUGUAAUAAGCAUGAUUGUAUUUGGAAAUUAAAUGUAAUAUGUAAUUGUGAUGUAAAAUAUAUCUAGUGAAUGUGAAUGCUUGUAAUAACAAGUAGAUUAUGUUUUUGAUACUUCCUUAUGCAAUCUUUGAUUGAAAUGUGUUCCUAGUUGGAACUUCGUACAUUGUAUUGAUUGCGACACCUUGGACGUACAGGGGAAACUCUGUCCGCGGUACAGAGGAAACCCUAUCCGUUCGGCAGUCUGUCGGCGGCGCCGCGACCCGGCCAAAUAGGCGGGUUGUCGCGGGUUGUGACAAUAAUAAACCCAACACUCCUCUCCUUAACAGAAAACAGCCCUCCACUGUCUCCCUCUCAUUUCUCUCUUUCUCUCUCUAGAGACCUUGCCCUAGAGCUUGGAUGAGAAGGAAAAAAAGGCAUGGGGGAGAUUUUUGGUGGCUUUGAAGGUGUAGAAGCUCUCCAUCAAGGUGGACUUGGGGAUAGCUUUUAGCUAAGGUGAGUUUUAGUGCAAAAGCUCAUUUAGGGUUUGGAUUUCCACUAUGGAACUUAAGGUUUUGGGGCUUCUCUCAUGUUUAGAAGCAUUGUGAACCUUGAACACCAUGAAAACCAUGGUUUUCUCAAGGUGCUCAUAUGGUGAACAUCCAAGGUUUAAAGUAGAUGCCCUAGGAAUGGUCCAAAUGGCUUGGAAAUAGUAUUAGAGAGCUUCUUAGGUAAUUCUAAGCUAGUAUUUGCUUAGAGAUAAGAUCAAUCUAGGAGAAAUCCUAUUAUGGCAUUGUUAGGGCAUGGAUUUUGGGGCUUUUGCCUCCGGUUGUUUCCGAGAUAAAUUGACCUUUUGAAAACCUAAUUAGGGGUAUUCCCGACGCGUGGGAUAACUCCGUUUGACGUACGAAAAGCUUGUGUAAGAGUUCUAUGUAUUAAGCCUAAUUUGAUUUAUUUUUGGGUUUAGGUCGCGGGAUAGGCGUCCUAAAAUCGCGAGAGUUGAACUACAAUCCUACUACAAUAUUUAAGGUGGGGGGGUGCACACCGGAAUCAUCGAAUUUCCCUUUAUGUCUAUUUCACUUUAGUUGAGCAUAUUUAUGUAUAGAACCAUUCAUGCAUGAUAGGGUGUUUGACAUGUGGUUAGUAGUUAGAAUUUCAAUAUUAUGUCUCUAACGUAGAUGAACAUAGUGAUUAAACAAGAACCAUAAUGGACAUGUAUGGUAAAACCUUAAUGAUUGUAUGAAUGUGAGACUUGGACCAAGACAAUAGUAAACAAAGGUGACAUUGACAAUAGAGACAAGAUUGGCAUCGAGACAUUGGUUGUUAAACAAAGUUUAACCAUUAGUGGCAUUGUGGCAAGAGUAGUCUAGAGAGUGGCAAGCAUGAAACGGUAGAGACCUAUCAUUGGUAAAGUGGCAUUGUGACAAGUGGCUAUACAUUCCCUCUGUGGGAAUUAGAUCGAUACUCAUGAUAAGUCUUGGCUUGAGGGAGGUAGCUCCCCCUCGGGCGGUGCACUCCAGAGUUGGUCACCACUGGGCGUGGUAAAGUCCCCCCAGAGGACGGUCCCUAGGGUGGUUCGAGUCUCUCGUUAUUAAGAAAUUUUGGGUUGUGAGUUAUUGGGGUUAACAAGGUUAACCGGCAAGAUUGGGUAAAAGCCAAAGUAAAGUUAUGGAAUAAGCAUGCAUGCAUGAGCAUUCUAUAUUUGAUUAUAUAUCCACUGAUAUCUUUCUUGCAGGCAUAGUAUUAGCAUUAGCAUUGGUUACAGUUUUCCUUUCCUUUGAAAUACUUAUGCCUGAAUAGACCUAGUGGCUAAGUCGGCUCGGUUGUUAAACCCACUGGGAACUUCGUUGUAGUUCUCACACCACUAAUCCUACAGGUCCGAGCGCACGCGGGGCGGCGGAGGACUGAGGUAAGGGUAUUGCACCAUAGCUUGUGGCCACCGGAGUAUUGCAUUUAGUCAUUCCUUUGUGUACAUGUAUCAACUUUUAUUUUGCUGAUCUAUAGCUAUUUAAGUUGAAAACAAUCAUGUAUUUUUGGUGGAAUGAUUAAGAUGUAAAGAACUAUGACUGGAAGCAAAUUGAAUGUAAUAGUUUUAGUUACAAGUAUUUGGUUUAAAUGUAAUCAAAUAUUGUGUAUGGUUGUAUGUUUAGCUUAGAGCUUUCGCUUCCGUUGUUGCUUGCCCUCGUGCAAGCCUUGUAUAAUUGCAAAUUACUUUGGUUGAUUGCUUAAUUAUACUUGUUGUUAGAGCCUUAGGCGGACAGGGGAGAUGCUAUCCGUUCGGCGUCUAUUGACGUGACUCGAACCCGACCAAAUAGGCGGGGAUUAGGGCGUGACAUACAGGGAUCCACUGUUUACACAGACAGAGUCUUCCCUUUAGUUGCAGGGCGUCGCACAAGUACAAGAUACAACCACACAGUAUAAUAUUCCACAUACAAUCACCACAUCACAUUCAUUCCAUCACAGUUUAUCAUAAAUUCAUAUCUAUUAGUUUAAAAUAUUUCCCACCCGGAAACAUAUUUUGAAAUACUAUGAAUUAUGAAAAUCAGGAGAAACCCUUUUUAAAACCGUUUCCGGCACAGAAAUCUUUUCUUUUAAAAUAUGCUACCACGAGGGGUAGAAAACUGUUUUCAUCUCAUAGAAAACCAUAAGUUAUUUAUUACAUUCACGAAAUCACAUUUAUUCAAAUAAAUGAAAAACCAACUGAACUAUAUUAAAUAAGUCAAUUAUUUUAAGAAAGCAAGUUAAGGAAUUUAACCAAAACGACGGGUCGGUAGCUCUAACGAUUGCUAAGAUGCGCGCCUUACGAACUGUCCCAACUCGGACCAGCAAUGUCAUCUGUAAUGGGGGUGGGGGGUGAGAACAUGUACACAUGUCUCCCUUCCCAGUGGGUACCGCAAGCCGACGAGGGCGAGGGGUACUCACCAGUCAAGGAGAAUAAACAACGGUAUGAGUAAAUGUAAUACAAUAGCAACGAUAAUAAACAAACAAGAUAAGUAAAUGAACAACUACCGCUACUGUAUGUAUGCAUCAGCCGAACGAUAAGUCCAAAAAUACCCAAUCUGAAAGCUGUGCUCUGUUGGUCAGCACCGGAGACCUCAAGCUGUGCCCUGUUGGUCCAUACCGCAGACCUCAAACUGUGCCCUGUUGGUCCGCACCGUAGACCUCAAGCUGUCACUCUACCUGCAUAUAACCCAAGGUAGCCUAUGGGCUCACGGGUUGGCACCUCCAACCACUUUUUCGGAAAAGAACACCCUCUUGCGGUGGAUCAGACCGCUUGUGUUCGUGAAAUGCGUACGAGUAUCGGGCGAUCAAUGCUAAUAUGCUCAAUAGUCAACCGUCGGUGUCACGCCCCGGGACCGGCGGAGGCCCUCCCGGUAGCGUGCCCAGACCCGCCAUAUGUCUACACAUAUAAGGCGUCUACAAUAAAAGCGGAAGUAAAAGCAAGUAAUAGAACAAAUAGAAGAAGUGAAACAACGAGCAACUAAUGAUAUCAGAGCGAGUAAAGAUCUAUCAUCUACACCAAAGUAAAGAAAUAAAGCUAGACAAUAAAAGAAACCAUAAGUAGUACAAUAUCUGUCUCUAGUACAAAAAUGGUGGUCUCUAUACAUAUACGGGUACAACUCACAACCUCUCACCAAAAAGAAAACACGAGAGGUAGACCACCUAUCGAACGAUCCCUCGGUAAGCACGCUAGCCCGAGGCGAUACCCUUUCCGCGAUCCCUGGCCUCUCCCUGCGUGGAAGGCUCUGAAAAACAUCGAGAAAAAGAGGGCGUGAGAACUAUAAUUUAUAGUUCCCAGUGGGCAAUUACUGACCUCAGCUCUAUGCACCACUAGGCCCCAAAAGAAAAGGGGUAAGUACAAUAAUGAUAGCAAUAAUAACAGCGAUAUGAAAGCUUAAUUAAAAUGCUAAAUUACUAAACUCAAGUAUACACGAUGUCAUGGUGACGUACAUCUACGAUAUCAAAAUAGUAUGUCCAAUGGCAAUAAUUAAAUGUCAUUAACCUUUAUGAAUACAUUAUGCAUAAGUUCUGUCAUGGCAACCAAGCAUGCUUUAAUGCAAUAGGAGACUAUCAAGUAUACUACAUGUCUCAACACUAUGCUAAAAGCAUAUAAAUGUAAUUCAACUACUAAACCUAUCAAGUAGUGAUUAUCCAUUUCCGGUUCAAUGUCAUUAAUCAAACAUGUUUUAGGAUCUAUAUAUUGUAAUCCAGCUUGUGCCGCCUAAAAGUCGGUGGUAGCCCCAACAUUCCCACUUUAGGAAUGAGUCUAUCCCUCCCGACCCCGUAGGCUUCUCAAUACCGCACGGCGAACAUAGGUCGCGUAGGCUAACUCCGGAGUGCCGGCUUGUAGGGAGCGACCCUCACAAGCAUGUGCGAAUGAGCACAAAUGGCAAGCAAGCAUAGUCCAAGUCUCAAGUAUCCAAUCCUCAUGUCUCUAACAUGGUAUAGUCACUAGCAUCCCGAAGAUCUAGUUUAAGUCACAAUGUGAAGUUUCAACAUUUGCUACGCCUAGUGCCCCUUGAUGACACUUAGGCAAUUUGAUGUUCAACAUGUAUUCCAAAUCCCUCAAUGGCCCUAUCCACUAGGUUCUCACAUGUCCUGAGCUCAAUGCCGCUUGAUGACAUUAGCUCUCUAAUUCACAUAACUUCUAAAAGGCAAUAUUGUCAACUUUCAUGUCACAAGUAAACUUAGGUUUAAAUGCAUGAAUCCGAACUCAUUUAUACUAUAGAAGCAUGAUACCACGUCUCAUAUAGAAUGCUAAAUGCAACUAUGGCCUAAUAAGCUACUCUCUACUACAUAGAGGUCCAAAAUUUCAUCAUAUAUAACAUAGGCCUUUUAAGCAUUCUAAAAUUCACAAUAAAUACAUAUAACAAGAAUAUGCAUGCUUUUUCAAUUAAUGAUACUUAAUUCAUCACAAAUGAGAAUUUCUCAUUGUGUGGCUAGGUCAAACCCACCGAAUCGUCGCGUAGUGCCUCGUUUCGCCAAACAAAGUUGUCCCCGAGUCUCAAAAUACCCUAAAAGUAUUGAGCGACAAGAUACACGGGCAUUACGAUUAACUAUAAGAUCAAACUUUAACAAAUUUAGCAAAAUGGCUAAAACUCACCUAAUGUGUGGAAAAUCUCUCUCAAGCUCCAAAAGAGAGCUAAAUCCCUUCCAAACCAAGCCCAAGGAAGGUUCUAAUCCAACCAAUUUAGCCCCAAAAGCCCUAGAUCAAAAAUGCCCAAAAUAAGCCCUACGUAUCAAAUCUAGGGUUCCAUCUUGAAUCCAUCAAUAAAAUUCAUAUUUAAAGGGAGGGAGGAAGUAGAUUACCUCUUAGAAGCUUCAAUCCAAGCACUAAACUCUCCAAGUCCAAGGAUCUUCCAUCAACUUUGCUCCAAACCCAAGCUCCAAACCUCAACCGAAGUGAGGAAGUCUCUAAUCAAGCAAAAGGGAGCUUAAUCUUGUAAAAAUCCAAGCAAAAUCAAGUAAAGGGAAUGGAAGAGUGUGGAGGGCUCCCUUACCUUUCUCCUUGCUGGUGCCAAGCUCAGGGAGAGCCCUAGGGGCCUGGGGGUACUAAUAGAGAUGCCAUAAUUGCGAAAAACCCCCUGCAGUUCAAACUGCUCAGAUUCUGCCAAAGUGUACCGGUACACGGGAAAGUGUACCGGUACAUAUCCUACGAAAAUGCAAACCCGAGGCUCGGGUUUGAAAUUUGCCACAAGUGUACCGGUACAACCAUCAAAGGUGUACCGGUACAAAAUGUGUACCGGUACAGCCAUCGACCUGUCACCGGUUACACCUCGUGCAGAAUGAAAUCCGAGGGUAGCCUAAGUCCAACUCUUGGUGAUCUUAGCGCUACAUAAAAAUACCACAAUUCUCGGGAUGCGAGCCAUGGGUCGGGACACAGUCAACGACCCACCAGAAAGUCUGGAAAAACUCGGGAUACAGUCCAAACACUCGAACCUCGCAAUUUGCGAAGGUCCAGUGCGUCACAGUCGGCAACCUGCCAACAAUCCUACCCCCCAGGGUAUACCGACCGUAUAGGUCAUCGAACCGUAAGGAACACAAGUACCGACCACUCAGGUCAAUUAGGAUGGAACAACUCAACAUCCUUCAGAAGAUAUACAAGUACCGACCACAAAUGUCAACUAACAUGUAUGCACAAGGACCGACAAUAGGUCAUAAGGAUGUCACGUCACGCAUCGGUAUACAAAACUAGCCACCGGCCACUAACCGGCAAUCCUACCCCUCAGGGUACACCGACCGUAUAGGUCAUCAAAUAGUCCAACCGACCAAGUAGGUCACGAUAACAAUGCAGUAAGCCGACCGAAUAGGUCACAGAUACGAGAUACAAGAACUGACCAACUAGGUCAGGAUACUAGAUGCAACUCACUGACCGACUAGGUUAUAAAUCUCACAAAUAAUCACAGAACCGCUCUACUUCUAAAAUAUGAUACUUGGUAUGCAACUAACUAAGUAGAGCAAUAAAGAGAUAAGGUAUAGGUGCUAAGCUCAACAUAUAACAUGCAAGAUAAACAAGAAGGAAAGGGUGAAAGGAAUGUCACCGAGCAUGCACCACUGUACUGACUUCGGGUCGAAGUACCCACCUGUCCGUAUCUGGCACUGGUCUCUAGACUGCAGAGAAGAAUCAAACGGACCUACGAAGGGUCCACCGGGUUAGCAUCCAACCCACAAACACGAACCAACUCACAAUACUCACCAAUAAAUCUACGGGAAUCAAUUUCCAAAAAUCGAUUGCCGUAAUACGCCGGAAGUCUCGAAAAUUACACCGGGACUCUGCCGGGACCCACGAACUGUCCCGAAACUCACCGACUCGCGCUACGAGUCACCCGCUGCCACUAAACACAAAUAUUCGUGUGUCUUGGCAGCAAACGAACCUCCUCACAUCGAAACGAUUAUCACCACAUAAUCUUUCCGAUCCGGGUUCCCGGAAGUAUCAAAUUCGACACCGGAACCCACCAUCGCUCACUCGUCGUUUCCGAACCCUUGAAACAACGCGAGUGACCAGCCAACAAGGCUCAGCGACUACACAAUAUACUGUGAGGCACCAUCGGAAGAAUUCCGAACCGCAAUCGCGUUCCAUCGGCGGAUUUCGCCGAAAAACGCACUGGAAAAUCAAUAUCCGAUCUCCGAAAAGGUCCAGGGCCUUGGACAACCUGUCCAAAGGUCACCCACUGUCCACACACGCUGCCAACAGCAACCACUAAACUUACAAUUGCACAAAAACCCCCAAAACUACAUAAAAUCACAUCAUUUUAUGUGAUUUUCGGGGUUUUACGGCCCGACAGCGCAAACCGAGGGUAUUCAAGCUAGGCCGAGACACCCUCUGACAGGUCUCGAUGUGCCGGAGGCUGUGCUCACAAUUCGGAGAAUGGCCGUCCAUUGUGGCAAGCGCAGGAGCGAUGCGAAGUUCAGCGGAAUAGCGCGCACAGUGCCUAAAUCGCUCUUAGCACGAAAAUCAGGGCUUUCCUGUCCCCAACGGAGGUGAGCACGAUGUUCAUCACGGAUCAGGGAUCAUCGUGCUCACUUCCAGGAGUGUCGGGGUGUCCCCGGAUUGCCGGAACAGCAAUCUGAACCCGAGACUGUGCACAAAACAGUGAAAUAGAACUCACCGGACCAUGGGGAGCUCGGGCACGGCUGGCGGCGACCGGGAGGCGGGCACGCCGGUGGCAGGUAAGUGCGUGCGACGGAGGGAGGCUGGGGCGUGCGUCAGCCGGCGACGGAAGGCGACGGCUGCACCGGGCAAUGAUGCCCUAGCCACACCCAGCCGAGGAGAGCAUGGCCCAGGUCCGGCCGACAAAGAGCUCCGGCGGCGGGGAACCGGCGGCGGACGAGUGCGGCAGGCCAGGCGGAGCCGGUGCUCACGCCGGCCGGCGGAGGUGCAGAGGCAUCCCGAGCCCGCACGAGCUUGGCUCGGGCUCAGUGAGUUCCCUUCGACCAUGGCGGUAGCCAGAGCAGCUAGGGAAGGGAGCGGGCCUCCUCUAGAACUGAGAGGAGGAGGCGGAGAUGGCAGCUGGCGGCCGAGAAGACACCCUGGCAACGGCAGCGCUCGGGGGCAACUGUGGCCAGCCGGGGGAGGUCACCGGAGGUCCGUGUAGUCGCCGGAGGAGAGCCCAAGGGUGAGGGACCACCCUGUCGCGCUCUCGAGCACAGAGAAAGAUGGGAUGGUGGCGGUAUGAUGGAGAGGAAGGCAAAGCUGCAUUUCCGGCGGUCGGAAGCGCGCGGCGGCGGCCGGGGCGCGCAUAGUGAGGGCAGGGGAGGGUGGUGCGGCGGCUUGGAAGGUCUCAGCUGAGGUGGUUAGCUGUGUUAGGGUUUUCCUCAAAGAAACCCUAGCUAGCUCCUAUAAAGACAAAGUGACAAAUUGCAAGUAACUCCACCGAUGAUCAAAAAUUUUCUAUCGAGUCCUUCACAGUGCGAGUAAAUCGCAUGGAUACACCUUCACGCCCGAUUUCACGCAAAACGGUACAUAAAAUAUUGGGUGUUUUGCAAAAUUACCAUUUCACUACUAAUAACCCCUUCUAGAUCAACACGCGAUAUCAGGAGAUCCGUCCAUCAAAUUUGCGAACGAAUCACAUCAGUGCGAUCAGCAUGACAAGCACCUCCAAUCCAUGAUUUGUUUCACCUAGUUUGGUCGCAGAUUCGCGACGAAACUCGUUCUCUCUCCAAAAGGCAAAACUCGCUCAACAAUACAUAAAAAACAUGUAUCUCCAAUUUCCUCGAUAACCGUGCGUCAGAUCUGAAAUCCAUCAAUGCCAAAGGUUCCAGAAUAGUCGGACCAUUGAAAACGAGCUAUUGGAGUACUAUGAACAGAGUCCGAUACGCACCAGAAGCCAUCUCCACUGAUCGACCUCUCCGAAAAACCGAAGUUACUAUUCACUUUAAGUCAUUACUAAAGUUCGCGUAACUUCUCCAUCCUACCUCGUUUUCUCCUGAAACUUAACGAGUGUUUAUGUAAUUAAAUUACACACAAAAAUAUCGUGAACAGAGAGUUUAGCUACACUGUCAAAUUUUCAGUCCUCACACUUAUGAGCAAGCUCGGUUACUUGAAAGGGCUGUCUCAGUACUAACCAAGAGGAAUAGGCUUCAAGGUAGGGAAUAUCAGGACAGAUCCCUUUAGGGUUUAGUCCCUGACCAACUUCUGGACAUCCUACCACUAGACACAUAAAGGCCUCAAAAAUCAAAUACCCAGCUAGCAAAGGUUGCCUAAUAACUAGCACCAGGAGAGCCGGCAAUUGAUACAACAGAGAAUAUUGGUGGGACAAUACUUUAAAUGUGGAAAUAAAUAUCAUCCAAGCCACAUCUGCCAUGAUAAAACCUUGAGUGCAUUGCAAGCAUGUGAGGAAGUGGUAGAAGUCUAUGAUGAAGAUUGUUGACGUGAUCUUGAGGUGGAGGGAAAGCAUAAAUCAGAUAAAGAGUGCAAACUUCAGGAAGAAGAAGAAUUGCAAGAGCAGGGAGUUUCAAUUCAUGCCCUUAAUAGGGAAAAGCAACAAGAUACCAUUAAAAUCCAAGGGGAAGCGACGGGUAAAACAUUGGCGAUAUUAAUCGAUACAUGUAGCACCUGUAGUUUCAUCGAUCUACAAGUAGCUCGAGAGGUAAAGGCUAAUGUGAAAACUGUGGCGCCCUUAUUGUAACAGUAGGUAACUGACAGAAGGUACUAAGCAAACUUAAGUGCCCUAAAUUCACAUGGGAUACGCAGGGCCAACAGUUUAUAAAAGAUUUGAGGGUUAUAAGGUUAGAAGGCUCCAGUAUGGUUUUGGGAAUAGAUUGAUUAAAAUCUUAUGUGAAAGUAACAUUUGAUUUCUAGCAGAACUCAGUAACUUUAUAUAAGGAUGGAGCGAAACUGAGUUUAAAAGGAAUUGAGGUAGGGCCUACGCUCAAGCUAAUCAUGACUGCACAAUGUUACCAGGAAGAAAUUAAUGGUGCCUACUGCCUCAUCAGUCAAUUUGAGCCGAUAAAGGAGAUAAAGGAAACAGAAACUCCCUUACCUAUAUUACAAAUCCUUGGACAAUAUCCAGAAGUAUUUCAGGAACCCCAAGAGCUUUCUCCACCGAGAAAACAGGAUCAUAAAAUACCCUUAAUACCUGGUGCCACACCUGUUAAUAUCCGACCUUAUCCGACAUUCUUAUGAACAAAAGGGAGGGGUCGAGAGACAAGUUAAAGAGAUGCUGGAACAUUCCCUCAUUCAAACGAGUAAUAGUCCAUAUGCCUCACCAGUGUUGCUAGUAAAGAAAAAAGACAGGAGCUGGAGAAUGUGUGUGAAUUAUCGGCAACUAAACUAGCUCGCAAUCAAAGAUAAGUUUCCUAUUCCCAUAAUAGUUGACCUCUUAGAUGAACUUGGGAAUUCCAAGUACUUUUCUAAGUUGGAUCUGCGGUCUGGGUAUCAUAAGAUAAGGGUGCACACUGAGGAUAUUCCAAAAACAACCUUUCGAACCCACCACGGCCACUACGAAUUUAAGGUAAUGCCUUUUGGGCUAACAAAUGUCCCUGCUACUUUUUAGGCUAUUAUGAAUGAGGUCUUCGGGCUUUACUUAAGGAAAUUUGUGUUAGCAUUUUUUGAUGACAUCUUAGUCUACAAUAAAAGUUUGAAAGAACAAACAGAGUACUUAUGCAUUGUUCUGGACACUCUAAAGAACAAUAAGCACCUUGUGAAAAUGAACAAAUGUUAUUUUUGAGUAACCCGAGUGGAGUAUUUAGGACACAUAGUAUCUAAUCAAGGGGUGGCUACUGAUCCUUCUAAGAUUGAAGCAAUGGUACAAUGGCUAACUCCUAAGUCAGUGAGAAGUGUAAGAGUGUUCCUUGGGCCAACCGGAUAUUACAGGAAGUUCAUCAAGGGGUACGGUCAAUCAGUAAGCCACUAACCGAAUUGCUUAAGAAAGAUCGGUUUUGUUGGGCUGAAGAAGCACAAAUAGCUUUUGAAGACUUGAAGCUUGCCAUGACUAGGGCCCCCGUAUUGGCCAUGUCACGCCCUGGAUUACUCGUUUUCCCGGGCACGCCGUCAAAUCCACCGUAUACAAAGAAAUUUUUCCUAUAUACGAAGUGAUAGUUGUACUUGUGUAAGGAAGUGAAUUCUCGAAAUCCGAGAGUUGUAUUUCGUCCAGGAUUUACUAUUUGUCGAGAGAAUACCCUUUGGGGAAGUUAGAGAUGUCCAAAGCACAAAGAGUGCCUUGGAGUUGAGUCCAUGAGAGCAAAUGAUGCAAAUUGCAUCAUUGGGCUGAUGUACUUUCAGGGACCGGUCUCUGGAGGUGAGAGACCGGUUCCAUCGGUUGGGUGUAGUGGGGUUGCUAGAUACAACCGGUCCCUGGCAGGGAGGGACCGGUCCCCGAACGUUGUCCCAGCGAGAAAUACCGAAAUUUGGCUAAGUCCCGAAAAUUCAGCUCUCUGGAACCGGUUUCUCCGAGAGGAACCGGUUUUCCGAGGACCGGUCUCUCAGGGUGCGACCGGUUCCCGAACGCGUGCGCCCGAGGGAGGCUCUCAGGGAUCGGUCCCAAGUCGGGGAGACCGGUCCCCCCGCGCGAAUUCUGCCCAGUGAGGGCAGUGCAAGGAUAGAAAAGUUGAGGGGUUUAAGUGCAAAAUAACCAUGAGAGGGGUUAAGGGAGAGGCCUCUCUCUCUCUUUCUCUCAUUCCCCUCACUCCAUCACUCUCAUUUCCCUCUCCUUUUCUCUCUCUAGAAAGAGGAGAAUAACAAGAAGGAGAGGAAAGAAAAGGAGAAGAAGAAAAGGAAGAAGAAGAAGAAGGAGAUCAAGGAGAAGGCUUUAAACAUCUCCCUCUUCCUCUCCUUUUCCCAUUGGUGUAGCUCAAGAGGUAAGCUACAAACCCUAGUUUGUAGAACUUAGGGUUUUUGGAUUUUGGGCUUUGGAAAUAGGGUCAAAUGGACCUCUAGCACCAUUGUUGGUGGAUCAAAGCUAGAGUUAGGAUUCCAAAUUGCAAAUGGCAAGAUGGGAACCCUACGGCACCCAAAAUGGGAUUUUUGGUAAAGUAUGAGAUUGAUCUCAUUUGAGGCCUUGUAAACCUAAUUGGUAGGUCACAAAACGCGAGGGCGAAGUCGAUUUCGCGAUUCGUGGAGUGGGUUGGGAGCUAUCGGCGAAAUACGGCCGAUUUAGCAUUGUCUUGGACCAAGGAAGGCUAAAGCCUUUUCGUAAAGUUCGCCAGGGAUCAUUUCUAAAGCCUCUACAUCGGUAAAAAGGUGGGGGGUGUCAUCCGAAACUUUCGAACUCCUUUCUAUGUCUUAGAUUGCAUUUAAUCUCAUCUCUUACAUGUUGCAUAGUAGCUUCAUUCCUUAUGCUUUCUAAUUGAUAACCUAGUGUACUUGGAACGCUUGGUAACUUAGAUAGGUGAGGAUUAGGCCGGAACGUGGAUCCUAUGAUGUGAAAGAAAAGAGAUGAACCCGAUGGGCGUUGGUGACAUAGAAAGUAAUGUUUAAUGUUAAAGAACAAACGAGUGACAUCCAACUAUUAAAGAAUAACGAGUGGCAUUAAUGUAGUGUAAAUGACACUAGAGGUUUGAGAACCUAGGGAUAGAUGGAUCCCUUAGAAAAUGCCUUGUGGAUAAAGAACUUAGUAAACCUAAGUAACCUCACAUGGAGAGGUUGUCAAUCAGUUAUUGAGACAUUGACCCUAGUUGUAGGGCAUCCUCACUUGGAGAGGAUUUGAUUGGGUUGUUGACCCUAGUUGUAGUGCAUCCUCACUUGGAGAGGAUAGAUCUAGCUCACAGUCUGCUUUUGGGGUGGUAUAGCCAUCCCUAUCCCAACAUGGAGGGGAUUGUCGUCGAGUACUCCGGAGUAUCGGGCGAUUAGGACCACUUGGGGGUCCGGACCACAUGGAGGUCCGCAGAUGGUCCCGGGCUUGGGGCACUUGGAGCUCCCUCCCCACUUUUGGAUUGAAAGGUGAGUUAUUGGCGAACCCAAGAGCUUCGCCACAGAUUGGGUAAAAGAACAGUGAACAAUGUCAUUGAACAUUAUUAUUCGAACAUGGAUCGAAUUUGUUAGCAUGAUAGUAAACUCUUGCUAUAUGAUGCAUGCAUUCAUUACACAUGAUUAUGGGUAUAGUAGCAUAGUUUUUCUACUAUUGCAUUUACAGCUUUCAGAUAUCUAUCUAUCUAUCUAUCUGUUGUUACUUGUGCCCACUUGGACCUAGUGGGGAGAUCGACAGACUCGGCGGCUGAGCCCACGGGGAACUAUGAAAGAUAGUUCUCACCCCACUCUAUUUCCAGUGGUAGGUACAGGGCUGCCGAGAGAGGACUGCGGCAAGGGCAUCGCGCCCGACCAGUGAGACCGUGGUAGUAUAGUAGCUUUCCUUUUUGCAUUAGCACACCUAUAUAUUGAGAGAGAUUCAUUGUAGGUGAGGAUUUGGAGAGCUAUGCAUUUUGGAUGAAAGAUGUAAUCAUUUAAAAAAAAUGAUGUAAAUGAAAAAGGAUGAACUGUUGUAAUAGUUAGCAAAAUACCCUCUUUAUUUCACAUGUUAUUCUUGUGGAUUACAUGCUCUCGUAGUUGCCGGCACUAUUUGUGCCCCGUUGAAUGUAUAUGUUUAGAAUUUAAAUUUAUGGGAAAUUCUUAUACACAUUCUUGUUGUGAGCCUUGGGCGGACAGGGGAGGCGCUGUCCGUUCGGCGGUCCGCUCGCCGCGCCCGAAUCGUGCCAAAUUGGUAGUGGUUUCGGGGCGGGACGUGACAACUUGUACCUGUAAUCAUACAAAACUACAAUUAGUAGUAUAGGGCUGCUAGUAUAAACGAAACCAUAUAUAAAUAACAGCUGUUCACUAUACAUACAUAGUCUCCAUAUUCAAAAUCACUCGCUGUAGCGAGGAUCUAAUAUCAGUAUGUACAAGAAUAAAAAACCAACACUACCUGCAGCUGAUACUUCUCUAGAUUAGCAGCAAAAUAGGAAGGGAUCUAACUCGCGACUCCCUUUCCACGACCAGGAUCUGCAACAGCAGCAGCCGAAGAAGGAGGCUCUGCAAAAAAGGGUUAACAACUGGGUGUGAGAACUACUGCAAAGAGAAGUAGUCCUCAGUGGGUACCGCUACCGGCCUCAACGGCUCACCCACUAAGUCUACAGAAAGUAUGCUUAAGGAUAGUAAAGAAAGCUAGAAAACUCUACAGCUAUAUGCCACUAUUCUAUCACGAUCCAACACUAACUAUCUGUAGAAAAAAAUACAAUCUCUGAC
rnacentral:lncRNA from 1 species